GAAAUGCGAUAAGUAAUGUGAAUUGCAGAAUUCAGUGAAUCAUCGAAUCUUUGAACGCACCUUGCGCUCCUUGGUAUUCCUUGGAGCAUGCCUGUUUGAGUAUCAUGAAAUCUUCAAAGUAAAUCUUUUGUUAACUCAAUUGGUUUCUACUUUGGUAUUGGAGGUCUUUGCAGCUUCACACCUGCUCCUCUUUGUUCAUUAGCUGGAUCUCAGUGUUAUGCUUGGUUCCCCUCGGCGUGAUAAGUUAUCUAUCGCUGAGGACACUGUAAAAGGUGGCCAAGGUAAAUGCAGAUGAACCGCUUCUAAUAGUCCAUUGACUUGGACAAUACUUUUAUGAUCUGAUCUCAAAUCAGGUAGGACUACCCGCUGAACUUAAGC
rnacentral:misc_RNA from 1 species